AAUGAUAGAUGGCAUGUGUCCAGGUGGGGUGUAGGGGACUCCCUGUGGAGACAUAGGGGACCACCCAGUGCUGCAAACUGGAGGGACAGUUAAUGAGUGUAAUUCGAAAGGACACGUGUGGCAUCACUAGCAAGAGAGUUUUGUGCCUCGAGCCACGCAGCAUGGCACUCUGGGAGGUUGCCCGUCGUCCAGUGAGGGAGGAUACAGAGGCCUGAUGAGGUGAAGAAUUCCCACAGAGUGCCAGCAUAGAGAGAUUCUGAUUAAAACCUCAUCUGUUUCAUCAUUAA